GGAGAGAUGGCAGAGUGGUUGAUUGCAACAAUCUCGAAAAUUGUCAUAGCUUAAGCUAUCGAGGGUUCGAAUCCCUCUCUCUCCU